GUGGAAAAUGGGCAUCGGAUGACCCCUUUAAGCUGCGCAGGCGGAUUGGUCGAAGGACGCACAUCCUUUAUUUGAUUUGAGAGAGGACCAUAGGCACAAAGUCAUAUCAUGGCAUCAGAAAAACGGUGUUGAUUCAUAAGGGCGACAUGAGUAUGAGCUGCAGAAGAAAGCAACCUGAGCUCUUCAAAUCUGAAAACACACGAAAGCCGCAGAAAGACAGCUUGCUUGCUCUUCGAGUCAUCUUUCUGGAUGAUAGCGAGCAUGCUUUUGAAAUGGAGCAAAGGGUGCUGGGAAAGGAUUUCUUCAAUGCAGUAUGCAGACACCUAAAACUUGUGGAAAGUGAAUACUUUGGGCUUGAGUUCCGACAUCAUUGUGGCAGUU